UACGUAGGGUGCGAGCGUUGUCCGGAAUUAUUGGGCGUAAAGAGCUCGUAGGCGGUCUGUCGCGUCGGUCGUGAAAACUUGGGGCUUAACCCUGAGCUUGCGGUCGAUACGGGCAUGACUGGAGUUCGGCAGGGGAGACUGGAAUUCCUGGUGUAGCGGUGAAAUGCGCAGAUAUCUGGAGGAACACCGGUGGCGAAGGCGGCAUCCUGGACCGACACUGACGCUGAGGAGCGAAAGCCAGGGGAGCAAACGGG
rnacentral:rRNA from 1 species